AUUGAACGCUGGCGGAAUGCUUUACACAUGCAAGUCGAGCGGCAGCACGGGGGCAACCCUGGUGGCGAGCGGCGAACGGGUGAGUAAUACAUCGGAACAUGCCCAGUCGUGGGGGAUAACACUUCGAAAGAAGUGCUAAUACCGCAUACGACCUGAGGGAGAAAGCGGGGGAUCUUCGGACCUCGCGCGAUUGGAGUGGCCGAUGUCAGAUUAGCUAGUUGGUGGGGUAAAGGCCUACCAAGGCAACGAUCUGUAGCUGGUCUGAGAGGAUGAUCAGCCACACUGGGACUGAGACACGGCCCAGACUCCUACGGGAGGCAGCAGUGGGGAAUUUUGGACAAUGGGGGCAACCCUGAUCCAGCAAUUCCGCGUGAGUGAAGAAGGCCUUCGGGUUGUAAAGCUCUUUCGGCAGGAACGAAACGGCGAGCUCUAACAUAGCUUGCUAAUGACGGUACCUGAAGAAGAAGCACCGGCUAACUACGUGCCAGCCGCCGCAGUAAGAC
rnacentral:rRNA from 1 species